rnacentral:rRNA from 1 species
UUAAGCGACUAAGCGUACACGGUGGAUGCCCUGGCAGUCAGAGGCGAUGAAGGACGUGCUAAUCUGCGAAAAGCGUCGGUAAGGUGAUAUGAACCGUUAUAACCGGCGAUGUCCGAAUGGGGAAACCCAGUGCAAUUCGUUGCACUAUCGUUAACUGAAUACAUAGGUUAACGAGGCGAACCGGGGGAACUGAAACAUCUAAGUACCCCGAGGAAAAGAAAUCAACCGAGAUUCCCCCAGUAGCGGCGAGCGAACGGGGAGCAGCCCAGAGUCUGAAUCAGCUUGUGUGUUAGUGGAACGGUCUGGAAAGUCCGACGGUACAGGGUGAUAGUCCCGUACACCAAAAUGCACAGGCUGUGAACUCGAAGAGUAGGGCGGGACACGUGGUAUCCUGUCUGAAUAUGGGGGGACCAUCCUCCAAGGCUAAAUACUCCUGACUGACCGAUAGUGAACCAGUACCGUGAGGGAAAGGCGAAAAGAACCCCGGCGAGGGGAGUGAAAAAGAACCUGAAACCGUGUACGUACAAGCAGUGGGAGCACCUUCGGGUGUGACUGCGUACCUUUUGUAUAAUGGGUCAGCGACUUAUAUUCUGUAGCAAGGUUAACCGUAUAGGGGAGCCGCAGGGAAACCGAGUCUUAACUGGGCGUUAAGUUGCAGGGUAUAGACCCGAAACCCGGUGAUCUAGCCAUGGGCAGGUUGAAGGUUGGGUAACACUAACUGGAGGACCGAACCGACUAAUGUUGAAAAAUUAGCGGAUGACUUGUGGCUGGGGGGGAAAGGCCAAUCAAACCGGGAGAUAGCUGGUUCUCCCCGAAAGCUAUUUAGGUAGCGCCUCGUGAACUCAUCUUCGGGGGUAGAGCACUGUUUCGGCUAGGGGGUCAUCCCGACUUACCAACCCGAUGCAAACUACGAAUACCGAAGAAUGUUAUCACGGGAGACACACGGCGGGUGCUAACGUCCGUCGUGAAGAGGGAAACAACCCAGACCGCCAGCUAAGGUCCCAAAGUCAUGGUUAAGUGGGAAACGAUGUGGGAAGGCACAGACAGCCAGGAUGUUGGCUUAGAAGCAGCCAUCAUUUAAAGAAAGCGUAAUAGCUCACUGGUCGAGUCGGCCUGCGCGGAAGAUGUAACGGGGCUAAACCAUGCACCGAAGCUGCGGCAGCGACACUAUGUGUUGUUGGGUAGGGGAGCGUUCUGUAAGCCUGCGAAGGUGUGCUGUGAGGCAUGCUGGAGGUAUCAGAAGUGCGAAUGCUGACAUAAGUAACGAUAAAGCGGGUGAAAAGCCCGCUCGCCGGAAGACCAAGGGUUCCUGUCCAACGUUAAUCGGGGCAGGGUGAGUCGACCCCUAAGGCGAGGCCGAAAGGCGUAGUCGAUGGGAAACAGGUUAAUAUUCCUGUACUUGGUGUUACUGCGAAGGGGGGACGGAGAAGGCUAUGUUAGCCGGGCGACGGUUGUCCCGGUUUAAGCAUGUAGGCUGAUUGUCCAGGCAAAUCCGGAUAAUCAAGGCUGAGGUGUGAUGACGAGGCACUACGGUGCUGAAGUAACAAAUGCCCUGCUUCCAGGAAAAGCCUCUAAGCAUCAGGUAACAUCAAAUCGUACCCCAAACCGACACAGGUGGUCAGGUAGAGAAUACCAAGGCGCUUGAGAGAACUCGGGUGAAGGAACUAGGCAAAAUGGUGCCGUAACUUCGGGAGAAGGCACGCUGGUGUGUAGGUGAAGUCCCUGCGGAUGGAGCUGAGACCAGUCGAAGAUACCAGCUGGCUGCAACUGUUUAUUAAAAACACAGCACUGUGCAAACACGAAAGUGGACGUAUACGGUGUGACGCCUGCCCGGUGCCGGAAGGUUAAUUGAUGGGGUUAUCCGUAAGGAGAAGCUCUUGAUCGAAGCCCCGGUAAACGGCGGCCGUAACUAUAACGGUCCUAAGGUAGCGAAAUUCCUUGUCGGGUAAGUUCCGACCUGCACGAAUGGCGUAAUGAUGGCCAGGCUGUCUCCACCCGAGACUCAGUGAAAUUGAACUCGCUGUGAAGAUGCAGUGUACCCGCGGCAAGACGGAAAGACCCCGUGAACCUUUACUAUAGCUUGACACUGAACAUUGAGCCUUGAUGUGUAGGAUAGGUGGGAGGCUUUGAAGCGUGGACGCCAGUCUGCGUGGAGCCAACCUUGAAAUACCACCCUUUAAUGUUUGAUGUUCUAACGUUGGCCCCUGACCGGGGUUGCGGACAGUGUCUGGUGGGUAGUUUGACUGGGGCGGUCUCCUCCCAAAGCGUAACGGAGGAGCACGAAGGUUAGCUAAUCCUGGUCGGACAUCAGGAGGUUAGUGCAAUGGCAUAAGCUAGCUUGACUGCGAGCGUGACGGCGCGAGCAGGUGCGAAAGCAGGUCAUAGUGAUCCGGUGGUUCUGAAUGGAAGGGCCAUCGCUCAACGGAUAAAAGGUACUCCGGGGAUAACAGGCUGAUACCGCCCAAGAGUUCAUAUCGACGGCGGUGUUUGGCACCUCGAUGUCGGCUCAUCACAUCCUGGGGCUGAAGUAGGUCCCAAGGGUAUGGCUGUUCGCCAUUUAAAGUGGUACGCGAGCUGGGUUUAGAACGUCGUGAGACAGUUCGGUCCCUAUCUGCCGUGGGCGCUGGAGAAUUGAGGGGGGCUGCUCCUAGUACGAGAGGACCGGAGUGGACGCAUCACUGGUGUUCGGGUUGUCAUGCCAAUGGCACUGCCCGGUAGCUAAAUGCGGAAGAGAUAAGUGCUGAAAGCAUCUAAGCACGAAACUUGCCCCGAGAUGAGUUCUCCCUGAGACU